ACGCCACGAAUGCACCUUCGUGUUG
rnacentral:rRNA from 1 species